UACGAAGGGGGCUAGCGUUGCUCGGAUUUACUGGGCGUAAAGGGCGCGUAGGCGGACAGUUAAGUUGGGGGUGAAAGCCCGGGGCUCAACCUCGGAAUUGCCUUCAAUACUGGCUGUCUUGAGUGUGAGAGAGGUGUGUGGAACUCCGAGUGUAGAGGUGAAAUUCGUAGAUAUUCGGAAGAACACCAGUGGCGAAGGCGACACACUGGCUCACUACUGACGCUGAGGCGCGAAAGCGUGGGAGCAACAGG
rnacentral:rRNA from 1 species